rnacentral:lncRNA from 1 species
UAUCAUCUAUCUGUAUCUAUGUAUCUAUUGCCUAUCUCUACCUGUCAUCUAUCUAUCUAUCUAUCUAUCUAUCUAUCUAUCUAUCUAUCUAUCUAUCAUCCAUCUAUCUGUCCAUCAUCUAUCGAUCUAUCGAUCUAUACGUAUAUAUAUCUCAUCUAUUUAUCUAUCAUCUAUCUAUCUAUCUAUCUAUCUAUCUAUCUAUCUAUCUAUCUAUCUAUCUAUCAUCUAUCUAUCUAUCUAUCAUCUAUCUAUCUAUCUAUCUAUCUAUCUAUCUAUCUAUCAUGUGUCCAUCUAUCUGUCCAUCAUCUAAUGGACUUACCUAUACAUCUUCCCAGUACACCAGCUAUAAAUUUAUGGUGGGUAGACAUGUUUGUGGGACACUUAUCAGUCCUGCAACUACCUACUUAACCCACAUAACAAAAAGAAACAGGCAGGCAGCAGAUUAGGACAGGCCUGGUGGGCUCCAGGAGGGAGAGCAAUGCCCCUCAGCUAACAGCAAGGCAUUCCCCCAAUUGCAAUCUCAUUAAACUCCACACAGGCUGGGGAUGCAUUCAGCCACUGCUUUUAGUUUUAUUUUCAGGAAAAGGACAGUAGAGAUCCAGUGAGAUUUGCCGUUUUUCAAGGUCACACACGGACAGCAUGGUAAAGAGGUAGAACGCUGGCCGUCUCCAUUCUCCACACACUGCACUGCCUGAGAGGUGAUUUCUGUCAGAGUGGAGGACGCUGGGCAGCUGACCCCUGUCAGAGAGCCUCACUCUCUUGGGAAAUUUUACAGGGCCUUUCCAAUUCCUCCACACCACAGUUAAGCAUCUAAAUGAUUCCAUUACAGCUUUUAAUACCCUCCGUCUCCCACCAAAUCAAGGCAGGAAAAAUAUGUAAAGUCUCUAGGGGAAACAGCCAACCAUUUCCUUUCUUAUUUCUCUAUGAAUGAAGCGGUUGCUGGGCUUUGGUUUCUUUCUUUCUUUCUUUCUUUCUUUCUUUCUUUCUUUCUUUCUUUCUUUCUUUCUUUUUUUUUCCCAAACUUUAAAUUAAAAUGCUGACCUGUGGAGUCUUGAGCUCAAAGUUCCUCAAUAAGUAGAGAGGGACCCAUUAGAAGUAGCUUAAGUCAGAGCCACCUACAUCCACAUGCUCUGUGUCUGAAGAGUUCGAGAAAGAAGGCUGGUCUCAGGUCAAAAUGUUUUGACCACAUACCACAGGGAGGGGGGAAUUCUAAUUUAAAACAGUCCUUAGGUUGAGAAGAUGCUUGGCUGGUAAACAUUUGUCACAUAAGCAUGAAGACCUAAAUUUGGUGCACAGCACCCAUGUAGAAAAGAAAAAAAAAAGUUGGAUGUGGUUGGACACGCUGGUAUUCUCAGGGAGCACAGAGAUAGGAGCGUCUCUGGGGCUCAGAGCCAGCCAUCCUAGCCAAAUCUGCAAGCUCCAUGUACAAGUGAGAGACCCUGUCUCAAAAACAAGGUGGAGAGAAACCAAGGAAGACAUCUAUGGUUGACCUCUGGCCUCCACGUGCAUACACAUGCAUGCACAUGCACACACAUGCACAUGUGCCCUAUACUCUUGCACACCUUGUAUGCACACACGUAUCUGUACACACAUAUGAACACAUCCACACGGAGAGACAAGCUUGCCAAUAACUUGUUUUGUUUAGUAAGAGCCUCCACGUCAGGUUUGUACUAAUUAUGACAUCUUGUGGCAGUGAUUCGGAAGUGGGGGAAUUCCACCGCCCCCAGUCAACAUGUGACAAGGUAUGGAGAGAUUUGGGGUUGUCACAGCUUGGGAGAGGAAUGGCACCUGAGGGUCGUGGUCACAAGUAUCAUUAGAUAAGUAUCUCUUGAAGCACUGCAGGAUCUGAGCCAAACCAGGGGUGGCACUGAAAGUGAGGACCCUGCUUCCAGGCAGCAGUUAUCAUCAAUAUGCACGACAGUCAACAUUCGGAUGCUUCCUUUAUUCAUCUCCCCACCUUGUGUGUGUGUGUGUGUGUGUGUGUGUGUGUGUGUGUGUGUGUGUGUGUGUGAUGCACAUGUGCUCACCUGAGCUUGCACUUGUGGAAGACAGAGGUCAACACCAAGUAUCUUCCUCUAUGAUUCUCCUCUUCUGUCCUUCCUUCCUUCCUGCCUGCCUGCCUAUAUUAUUGUUGUUGUUGUUACUACUACUACUACUACUACUACUACUACUACUACUACUACUACUACUGCCAUUGGUUUUAAAGAGAUAGGGCUUCUUUGUGUUCUGGAACUCACUCUGUAGAUGACCAGGCUGGCCUUGAACAGAGAUCCACCUGUCUCUACCUCCUGAGUACUGAGAUCAAAAGCUUGUACCACCACUGCCCGGCCCUCUCUACCUUAUUUUUUAAAGAUAGGGUCUCUCACUGAACCUGGAACUAUUAUUUCAGUUAAGCUGUCUGGCCUGUGAGCCCCCUCCCCCCUGCCCUGCCCUGCCCUGCCCUGCCCUCACUGGGGUUGUAGGCGCACAGCCCCAUACUUUUACGUGGAUCCUGAGGACCCAAACUUAAGUCCUCAUCUUUUAGCAGCGAGCACUUUCCUCACUGAGCCAUCUUCCCAGCAGCUCCCGACCUGUGUCUGCCCGAGUGACCGCAGCACCCACUCUUUGCAGAUGCUGGGCAUAUAGUGUUUAGCAUACUGUGAUGAGGUCCUCCCUCUCACGGAUGUUAUCAUGCAAAAGCUUGAACCUAAAGGAAGUUUUUCCAGAUCUUUUAAGCCUGCAAAUGUUGAAUACCUAGACUAGGAAAAGCUAUUAUGAUAUAUUUUAUUAUUAGCUUUAUACAUGGAGUCAAGAGUGUUUAUAUUUUGAAGCUUUGGAACACGCAGGGCACAUAUUACCUUUCAGAAGAGAGAUUAUGCUGGCUGGCUGGUUGGUUGCCUCGUGUUCUAUUAACAUUGAAGCCAGGCUUCCCUGUCAGGCUGUUCUGGGUAAAUACAUUCAGAUCUGCAAGCAGUGAGCACAGGCUUUCAGCCCAAAUGGCUCUUUGUGUGUAGAGGAGAAGGGAGAUGCAGACCACUGGAGCAUGUCUCUCACCACCCCUGAGCUUCCCUUGAGCAAUGACCUGGGAGAUCAGCUCACAGCUGUCGAGGAACAUCUGUAACCGAGUCAGGCUGGAAGGAGUUCUACAAUCCUCUACCUGUGUGCGUCUAAGUCUCAUGGGGCCACACUGAAACUGGAUCCCUUCCUGUCUCCUGCUACCUGUCUUUUUAGCUACCUCAGCUUUGCCUAGGAUGAUGACAAAGCUCCUUUAGGACCCACAAGGCCUUGCCAACACACUCUGCCCCCACCCACUCUUGCCACACUGGCUUUCGUGCUGUCCCAAAAGUCACAUUCUGUCACCACAGGACCUUUGCACAAACUCCUCUUGUUUCUGCAGGCUUUCCCUCCUGAUCCUUCAUUUUGUUAACACACCUGCUCACUUCACCAAGGUCUUCCAAGCUACCACUUCCUCACAGACACCUCUCACGCCCCCUUGGCACUACCACACAAGCUCUCGCUUCAUUCUGGUGCAGUCUUACAAUUGCAUGUGUAUUGUCAGCAUGGAGUCUGGCUAGGACACACCACGGUAUCCUAAACCACCACAUUCAGAUACAUCUGCAUAAAGUGGGUGCUGGAGAACCAUCCCUGAACCAUUUGAUUCUUAAAAUCACAUUGCAUUUGCAGGUUUAUCUUGUGGUUCAGGGUGUUUGCGUUUGUGCGUAGGCUCGCACACCACAGCUCCCGAGUGAUGGUCAGAGGAGAACACAGGCAUGAUGAUUCUUUUCUUCCACCAUGUGGGGCCCAAGGCUUGGUGGUAAGGGCCUUACUCGCUGGGCCACUUUCCUGGAUCCUGAACCAUUUAAGCUUUAAACGAAUGAAAAAUAAACAAAUAAAUGUGACCAGCCUGAGAUCUACACUCAGAAGUAGAAUGCUAGGGAGGCCAAGGGUGCACAGGUCCUGACGACCCUAGAGGACCCUGGGAUUUGUUAGUAUAUUUCAAGGUGCAGAAGGGGAAAUCUUGCCUCCAGAGCCUGGAAUUCAGAAGACACCAAUCUACCUCUGUGAGAGAAUCAUUAAGUUAGGAACCAACUCCCACAUGCAGCCCACACGCAGCGGAGGUCCUCUGGCAGCAUGGCUCAAUUGAGUUCUCUGUGUCUCCUCCCAUCCCCGUUCUUCCUAAUCACGGGAUACCCACAGCCUUGCUUUCCAUCUCCCCACAGUGAGGUUAAGCUUCCUUCCUGGGUUGUGUGUUGUACAAUACCCACAAGGCCAGCACUACCAUCCGAGGUAGUUAAAUGUGACUUUGAGAAACAGGUCUGCCUUCCAUAGAAAAGCCUACAGUCACCACGACAAACACGACCGCAACGUUGAAAAAUCCCUAAAUAAAGAGAUGCCAUGUUCUCUGCAUAUUCAUGGCUGAAAUGAAUAGUAUAUAUGAUGCUUGGUUUUGUAAGCAUCCGGAUAAAGCAGAAGGCGAGAAUGCAGAUUCACUUAUUUUUAUCAAUGGAAACAAUUCUACUUGACCAGCAGAAGAAUUGUCUCCUCUGGUUUGAAGAACAAUGUGCCUGCAGAAGGCAGUCCUGCCCGUUAGUCUCUGAGCAAAGCUUUAUUUUUAUAUUAUUGUGUCGUUUUAUGCACAGUCCCCAAGUGCCUUGUCAAUGACAGCCACUCAUUAAAUCAUUUGAACUAUCAUAUAAAAAUAAAGAUGGAUUUUAAGCUACACUGAGCCAGGCAGUUGGUUAGCAAAUACUGAUUGUUCCCUGUGGGGUCAGGAGUGUUCUUUCAGGUGAUGGAGACUCACAGGAAGGAAACACAUGGUCCGUUGCCUCAGGAGGACUUAGGGACGAAUCCAGGCAACAAACAGAUGAGCCUUCGAGCAGAAUAAAACUGUUCAGGAAAAACAACAACAAAAAAAACUUGUCUUUGGGAAGUAGAGUGAAGGUCAGCACAAACCAGGCUUCAGAGGCAAGAGAGACAGUGGCAGAUAUUGUGCCACCAUAGGAAGAUGCCAGCAGCCAUGAAUGUGAAAGAAUUUGCAAGAUUAGAGGAUUAAGAUGUGAGUACUGGGAGUGAGGCACGUGCUGUGCUGUGGGU